GUUUAGCCUUUACUCAUGAAAGUAUUUUAUCAGUUUAGUUUUAACUGAUGACCAAUGUUAAUUUUGAAAAGUAGGAUACAAUAUUAUUUUGAUUUGGAAGAACCAGUAUUUUUCAUUUGAUCUCUAAUUUGUGGAGCAUUGAAAUGUACGUUUUAGAUAGUAUUUCUUGAUAGUUUAGAGAAUGGGGAGUAACCUUUAUUUUUUCUUCAAUCCUUCUGAUUUGGUGAUUUAAUUGGUAUGUGAUACAUGCUGCAGUUGACUUGCCGCCAUGGUUCUCUGUGCUAUCUAUAGCAUUGAACUCAAAUGUAGACCUUGAUGUCUCAAGAAUUGAAACAGCUCCACAGAGUAUGUUGCCGAUCAUAUGCUUUAGAGAUGGAAGUCCUCCAUUGCCAGAUGCCUUAUCAAUGGCGAAUUCAGCAAUCUCAGGAUAAAUGGUCUUGGUAUAGGCUGUGUUUUCCAAUGCAGAAAAAAAUCCCUAUGACAUUGACAAACAAUCGGCUUCUGCUCUUGUGAUCGAAACCAUGGAGGCUUUGACUGUAGCAUUGAAAUUGUAACUCAUCAAGAUGGCAAAAUUAGAUAUAUAUGCAAGUCCAGAUAUUUUGAUAAUAUCAUUAGACAAAUUAACGACGGUAAAAACUACCUGGGAAAAAAAA